rnacentral:rRNA from 1 species
GUUUGAUCCUGGCUCAGAUUGAACGCUGGCGGCAUGCCUUACACAUGCAAGUCGAACGGCAGCACGGGAGCUUGCUCCUGGUGGCGAGUGGCGAACGGGUGAUUAAUAUAUCGGAACGUACCCUAGAGUGGGGGAUAACGCAGCGAAAGUUGCGCUAAUACCGCAUACGAUCUACGGAUGAGAGUGGGGGGAUCGCAAGACCUCAUGCUCAUGGAGCGGCCGAUAUCUGAUUAUCUAGUUGGUGGGGUAAAGGCCUACCAAGGCAUCGAUCAGUAGCUGGUCUGAGAGGACGACCAGCCACACUGGAACUGAGACACGGUCCAGACUCCUACGGGAGGCAGCAGUGGGGAAUUUUGGACAAUGGGGGCAACCCUGAUCCAGCAAUGCCGCGUGAGUGAAGAAGGCCUUCGGGUUGUAAAGCUCUUUUGUCAGGGAAGAAACGGUGAGGGCUAAUAUCCUUUGCUAAUGACGGUACCUGAAGAAUAAGCACCGGCUAACUACGUGCCAGCAGCCGCGGUAAUACGUAGGGUGCAAGCGUUAAUCGGAAUUACUGGGCGUAAAGCGUGCGCAGGCGGUUAUGUAAGUCAGAUGUGAAAUCCCCGGGCUCAACCUGGGAAUGGCAUUUGAGACUGCAUGGCUAGAGUGUGUCAGAGGGGGGUAGAAUUCCACGUGUAGCAGUGAAAUGCGUAGAGAUGUGGAGGAAUACCGAUGGCGAAGGCAGCCCCCUGGGAUAACACUGACGCUCAUGCACGAAAGCGUGGGGAGCAAACAGGAUUAGAUACCCUGGUAGUCCACGCCCUAAA